rnacentral:lncRNA from 1 species
GUCACCUGAACUGGGCUGACUAUAUUUCCUUCGAAUGCACCUCAUAUGAACACAGAUCAGCAUCGAGUUCCUGACGCUUACACAUGCAUCCACAGACCAACCACUGCUGAACUAGUAGCACGACUACGUCACCGAUGCACUCGAUCUGCAGCCUAUAUUUGUUGCAUCACUACACACAUCCAUCCAGCAGUCCAGGACUAGCUACACUGAACGAGCAGAUCAACCACUGCUAAAGUAGCACGACUAAAUCAGCGAUGCACUCGUCCGCCAAUAUUUCCAUCACUGCACACAUCCAGCAAUCUACGACUAACUAGCUAUUAACCGAGCAGUACUACGAUCUACUACCAGACUACCACUGGCCACUACUGAAAGGGCAGUACUCCAACCACUUACUGAUGAAUUGCUAAUCCAGCUAGCUAUCUCGAUCGUUCGCCUCGAUUGCGCUUGCAGGAGUAGGGGCGUCGAUCAGCGCCACCAGACGAGCGCUGCGGCGGCAAGGGCGGCGGCCGCACCGGAGACCCUCGAGACGCCGCGGCCACGCGGCUCAGCUGCCGCGCCGCAGUGCCUGUGCGAGUGGUCGUCAUGGUGGUGGUGGUGGCACCCCGCCUGGCGCGAGCCUCCUCCUCCGAAGCCUCCACCGCCACCUCCGCGCGAGCCUCCUCCUCCGAAGCCUCCACCGCCCCCUCCGCGCGAGCCUCCUCCUCCGAAACCUCCACCGCCCCCUCCGCGCGAGCCUCCUCCGCCGCCCCCUCCGGCAAGGCAGCACGCGCCCUGCACCUGCGCGGCCAGGCAGAGCAGAACCAGCAGCAGCGCGCAGAGCGGCCUCCUCUCGCCUCUCAUGGUCGCCUCCCCGACUCCCCCUAGCUAGCUCUAGCAGGCUUCUUCCGCGCGCGCUUGGUCGCCUAGCCUAGCCCUAGCUCCUUGCUCGUCCUCUCUUCCCGGCCGGUGCGGUGGCGGAGGGCGGGUUUUAUGGUGUACUGGGCGUCUGAGCGUGGAGGGGGUGGAGAGGAGGCCACCGAAGGAGCGAGGAAAGGCGUGGAGAAAGGCGUGCUAGGCGUCAUUGAUGCCAUUUCCCUGUUCAUAGUAGGCGUCAGUACUGACGCGUCCACGGCUGCCAUGGCCGGAAGAGGCAAAGGUUCUGCGGCGUGGCCGAGCCGGGUGACGCUGAUAUUUUCUCAGUCGUCCCAUGAUCCGAUUCCGUUCCCAUCCAUAUAGGUAGUACGCCGUAGUACGAAUGUAGGACUGUAUGAAGAAGUAAUGGAGUACCUUGACGCGUAAUGUGAAAAUUUUAUAGUUU